GUUGGGGAGCUGCAUGAGGGAGGAACCAGUCUUGGUCCUAAAUAGUUCCUCAAUUUGAUGCUGGCAAACUUGAUGACUUUGUGGACGAUGUAGCCUGCAAGAUGAAAGAGAAUACAUUUCUCAGUUUUUGUGAGGAAGUCUGCCAAAAAGCUACUGUGGUCUUCCUGAUAGCUCCCAGAGCUGAUGGUGGUGAGGAACUGCCCCACAGAUAUGAUUCUCAGUGCAUGAUGGAAUUCCACUGGAGUUGGGACAGGAUUUUUAGACCUCACACAGCUGAAGAUGGACGAUGUUCUGGAGGAAGGUGAUGGCCUUUUGGUACUCCUCCAUCUUGAGCCUGCUCAGGGCUGUAAUUGGAUGGCGAGAUGACAUGAGAUCAAACCAACGAUCAACCUGCUCCAGGAACCACGCUGUCGUCAGGUAGGACAGAGGGCGGUUUUCUUGCUGCACCAUGUAUUUCAGCCCAGCACUUGUAGCCUUACUGAAUACAUUUAGAGCAAGACCAACCUUCAUCUUAUCAAAGUGACUUGGCUCGAUGGCUGCUGCUGAAAGAUGGGGAGCUAUUUUUAAUGCCAUCCCUUCUUGAAAGGUCAAUAAGUCCUUAAUGGGGACCACUGAAACCUCGUUAGAGGGGAGGUUCUCUCUGUUUACAACAUCCUCAGGAAUU